rnacentral:rRNA from 1 species
AAUGAACGCUGGCGGCAUGCCUAACACAUGCAAGUCGAACGAAAGCACCGGGAUCACUCUUGUAUGGUGGUGGCGCCGGUGGGGAAAUGCCCAUGGGUUUGGCAUAACUCUACGAAUGGGGUACUAAAACGGGAUCAUAUCUUAUGCCCAAAAAUUUAUUGCACCUGGUUGGUCAGUCGUUGGAUUGGGUAUUUGUGAGGGUAAUAGCCUACAACGGGGUCGAUGCAUAGCUGGUUACAGAGGAGGCUCACCCACACUGGGGCUGAGACACGGCCCAGACUCCUACGGGAGGCAGCAGUGGGUAAUAUUGGACAGUGGGCGGAAGCCUGAUCCAGCAAUGCCGCGUGAGUGAUGAAGGCCUUAGGGUUGUAAAGCUCUUUUACCCGGGAUGAUAAUGACAGUACCGGGAGAAUAAGCUCCGGCUAACUCCGUG